CCAAUUAGCAUGUCGCCGUAAUCAAAAUCACGUUCCUCGGGCAUUGACGUCAUUUUCAAAUGGCCGUGUCUCGACACAUUUUCAAGAACGUGACAUCACAUUCGUUGAAAAACAGUAAACAGUAAUGAACACCUGUCAUUGCACUAUAUACUCAAACCAAACUAGGACGAGCUCUCAGUUCUCGCCGUCAAGGGCCGCUGCCGCUGUCAUGGUCGCUAGAAAGAGCUCCUCAGAGUUCGAGUCCGGUUCAAAUACUAUAAAGUCUUACGGAUAUCGGGCCUUACAAGAAAAGCAUCUUGUAGUAACAAAGUAUUUUGAACAGGAUUGCCUCGGAUUACCGAAGUCGUUACCCUUCGUUUGGUCCUCAGAACGCCCUAAGAGUUUCCGUUGGUCACGAAGAAUUAUCCGUAAGGCACUCGGCAUAGUCAUCUCGUACACCGUACUUCUAAUCCAGACUCAGGGAUAGAGAUGUCAACCAAAUAAUUGUGGCGCUUUACCGUCACCGGUAACGUCAAUUCAAAGGUACUCCACUGUCCAUGCCCAGUUGCUUUGCUCCGACUUGAAUUGUUUGCCUACCGCUGACUGCGCACUGCUUGAAGCCAACUGACCUGCAAUGUCGCUGAUGAAGAGCUUGUUGCCUCUAUCCGUAAUUGCAAUUGCAAUUGCACAAAAAUGUCCGUAAUACGGAUAGGAUGUAUCCGUAUGAAGUGUAGUGUGUAGAAGUAUCGCCAAUAUUUGGCGAUACUUUUUGGUAUUGCCAAAACCACGGCAUUAAAAAAAGAACUUGUCCCCUUGAUUUGUUCAACGUUUAUUGCCACAUGGUGGCAAUACGCCGAGGUAUCGGCGAUACAUUUGUGUAUUGCCGUUUUGAAGGCAAUACUUUUCUGGAAGGCCGUUUAUUGGCAAUACUUGAUUGUAUCGCCAAAAAAAAGUACCAAAAGCAUCGCCAUUAGAUUUACAGUGCUGUAGUGUAGUGUGAGGGGUGUACGGAAAUGGUACAGAAAAAAUAUAGCACACUGUAAAAAAUACCGUACUUUUGCACGGAAAUGGUAAAGAAAAAUAAGGUACGGAGAAAAGUACGGAACGUUCCGUACCUGCUCCAUAUGAACCCAUGUAAAUGGGUACGGAAAAAAAGUACGGAACGUUCCGUAGUUGGCAAGUACGGACGGACCAGGCAAGACUAGACAUGUUCCGUACUUUUUUCUGACAGUGUACGGAGGUACGGAGGAAAAGUACGACACGUUCCGUACUUCCUCCAUAUGAACCCAUGUAAAUGGGUACGGAAAAAAAGUAUGGAACGUUCCGUAGUUGGCAAGUACGGACGGUCCAGGCAAAUUAUUGACCAGACAUGUUCCGUACUUUUACCGUACUUUUCUCUCACAGUGUAAGUAAUUCUCAGAGUUGCCGCGAUUUUCAAAGACUGACCCAUUUCAAGUUUUACAUAAAAUAAGGUCGAAAUUAUCUAAAGCCAUGUGAUAAUGGGG